CCUACGGGUGGCAGCAGUGGGGAAUAUUGGGCAAUGGGCGCAAGCCUGACCCAGCAACGCCGCGUGAAGGAAGAAGGCUUUCGGGUUGUAAACUUCUUUUGUCAGGGACGAAGCAAGUGACGGUACCUGACGAAUAAGCCACGGCUAACUACGUGCCAGCAGCCGCGGUAAUACGUAGGUGGCAAGCGUUAUCCGGAUUUACUGGGUGUAAAGGGCGUGUAGGCGGGGAGGCAAGUCAGAUGUGAAAACCACGGGCUCAACCUGUGGCCUGCAUUUGAAACUGUUUUUCUUGAGUGCUGGAGAGGCAAUCGGAAUUCCGUGUGUAGCGGUGAAAUGCAUAGAUAUCACGCAGAACUCCGAUUGCGAAGGCAGCAUACCGGCGCUCAACUGACGCUCAUGCACGAAAGUGUGGGUAUCGAACAGGAUUAGAUACCCGAGUAGUC
rnacentral:rRNA from 1 species